UUCCGGAGUUGUGUUGGAGUGAGCUGAUGUGACGACUAAAUGCCUCGAAAAUUCCAGACGAAUAAUCUAUUCCAUAUUAUUUAUACUAUUCAAGUGGCGCCUUGAUAUUUGAAUAUGAAUAUAUCUUUACUUAUCCAGCAUUUAUCUUCUUACGGAUGUUAUCUCCGUUACAACCAGUGCUUUGCAAUGAGCAAUGAUAAUGGCGUAUAAUGUAUCUCUGCUCCACAGUCGCAAUACUUUGGUCUGAAAGCUUCUGAGCUGGUGAGGGGAGAAGGCUGCAACAUCGGGAUGACUGGAGCUGGUAAUGCAGUCCAAGCAAGCACUAGUGCGGGACAAGAGGAGAUUGCUUCAUGUUGUCUAUGAUGAUGGAGAUUUAGACAAGACCAUAAAAUUCUAUACAGUGCUUUGCAAUGAAGCUCCUGCGAAAUCAUGACAUACAGUAAUUGAACUCACUUUACAAUCAUGGAGGCGACUGGUAUGAUAUUGUCACUUGGUUUGGUCAUCAUGGCAUUGCGGUUGAAGAUGUUUACAAGACCGUAGAACUCCUAAAAGCCAAGGGUGGGAAAGUGACCUGGCCAUGUGAAAGAUGGUUGUACCGUUAUUGCUUUUGUUGAAGAUCCCGAUGGUAGUUAGAACUUCUAGAAACGCUUCGUGCUGGUGGACUUGAUCGCUCAAUAGAGUUCUAUAAGAAGGUAAGGCUGUGAAGUUUCUUCCAGUUGUAGUUGACAGUCAUUGUUCGCUUCAUUUUUUCUUCUCUUCUUUAGCUUUCCUGAAUAUCAAUGAUAUGCCUUGACUGGUUAAGUAUGUUCCAUUCCGUAUCAUAUUUAGUUCAUUGUUGGUUUCAUGUGCAUCCAUUAACUUAAUUAUGUGAUGUUUAUGAUUGCUUCGAUUAUACUAAAGCUAUGCUGGGUUAUGGCUUCACUGAUUACAAAAAAGGGGAAUGCUUAUGCUUCGGUACAUUAAUUUUCCAAUUUUCUUCAUAUCACCUUGGUUCGGAAACAUGAAUAGUAAUAUUUUAGAAUUGUUCUUGAAUUCUUAAUUUCUUACUCUCGUGAUUUCAUGAAAUCAAUGAUCGAGAUGUUACUGACUUAUAAGUCAUAACAAACAAGGAAUUAUAUCUGUCUUUCUCUAUGUAAAGAUUGCUAUUGCAGAAACAGUGAAACUUAGUGGGGGAGAAGUCACCCGAAAACCUGGACCGUUGCCAGCUUGCUUGGAUCCCGAUGGCUGGAAGACGGUAAGCUUCUAAAAAAAUUUCACUUUCUGUGCCUUGCCUUUUAGUUGAUUUCUGUUUUAUACAGUAGAAUUUAGUAGAAGAAACAAUUUUUUUUUCAUUAUAAGUGAAAAGUUAUGACGCAAAAUAAAUCCAACUGUUCGGAUAAACCAAAUAACUAACUAUUCACAACUCCACUCCAAAACGGACCCUUCUCUUGAAGCCAACUCGACGCUUCCAGAUCUUAUUGGAGAAUCACCAACCUUAAUAAAACAUUCUUUUUCACCUUCCACAAAGCUUCACAGACCCUUUUAGACAAGGUUGAACACAUCCGCCUUAUUCUUUUUCACCUUCCAGUCUCAAUUCUUCCAGUAAUUUCAGCAUAUUUUAAAAUUUAGCCAUCACCUUUGAAUCAUUAUGAUUGGAAAGGCGGAAGAUUUUUGGAA